rnacentral:rRNA from 1 species
UGGAGGGGUGCUCGAAAGAGAGCCGUAACACAGGUGCUGCAUGGCUGUCGUCAGCUCGUGUCGUGAGAUGUUGGGUUAAGUCCCGCAACGAGCGCAACCCUUGUCAUUAGUUGCUACAUUUAGUUGGGCACUCUAAUGAGACUGCCGGUGACAAACCGGAGGAAGGUGGGGAUGACGUCAAGUCCUCAUGGCCCUUAUAGGUGGGGCUACACACGUCAUACAAUGGCCGGUACAAAGGGCUGCCAACCCGCGAGGGGGAGCCAAUCCCAUAAAUCGGUCGUAGUCCGGAUCGCAGUCUGCAACUCGACUGCGUGAAGUCGGAAUCGCUAGUAAUCGUGGAUCAGAAUGUCACGGUGAAUACGUUCCCGGGUCUU